UCAUCAUCACCAUCAUCCUGACUAGUCUUUCAGGCGAUGUGUGCUGGAAGACGUUUAGAUCUUCCAGAGGUGCAUGAGCGCGAAUAGAGCCCCCGGAAGAUUUACUUCCGGGGGCUUUUUUUU
rfam:Raoultella planticola strain GCSL-DIFS-295 CFSAN029441_contig1432, whole genome shotgun sequence.